UUUGAGUAUUAAGCCAGAAAGGAGUCGCCUUUACGCGCGUCCCCCUCUGUCAAAGUACGAACCCGCUGGACAUACGCGUUAUAUAAAACUGUUUCUCGACCCUUCCGCGCCAUUCCGGUAUGACGCUUGUUAGUGUAAAGAGCUCCGACAAAAAUGACUGGAUGCAGUGUAUUCGGCUGUAAAAAAAGGUCUGACACAUCGAGUGUACAAAAAGACAACGUGACAUUUCAUCUAUUUCCAAAAGACCCUAUCCGUCGACAACAAUGGAUAAAAGCUUGUGAAAAUCACAGAACAUGGCUACCCAAACGUACAAGUAAAGUUUGCUCCGAUCAUUUUGAUACGUCAUGUUUCUUGUUGCUGGCUAACAACAAAAGAAAAUUAAAGGAAUCAGCAACACCUACUUUGAAAUUACCAAAUAAAUUUAUUCUGUCAACAUACGAAGCAAAUAGAUCUUUAUGAUUGUUAUUUUAAACUAACCUUCUACUUGCGAAUUCGUCUGGGCGGAUUUUGGAUUGUAACAAUUUUUUGACUAUCCCUUGGGGACCUUACACAUUUCCGGGAUAAAUCAUAGUCUGUGUUAGUAGUGCUUGUUCCCUACACCCCCCAAAUUUCAUCGAAAUCGGUCAAGCCGUUAAGCGUGAAAGAGAAACAAACACAAAUAAAAAUUCAUACUUUCACAUUUAUAAUACUAUAGUCCGCUUUACAUUUGUGUAAGUGAUCGCCAAAAGCAUUAUACCUUGUCUCCUUCAAACUUAAACACAAUAACAAAAUUAAUUUGCAGCUCAAUAACG